rnacentral:rRNA from 1 species
GACGAACGCUGGCGGCGUGCCUAACACAUGCAAGUCGAACGGAACUGUUUUGAAAGAUUUCUUCGGAAUGAAUUUGAUUUAGUUUAGUGGCGGACGGGUGAGUAACGCGUGAGUAACCUGCCUUCAAGAGGGGGAUAACAUUCUGAAAAGAAUGCUAAUACCGCAUGACAUAUCGGAACCACAUGGUUUUGAUAUCAAAGAUUUUAUCGCUUGAAGAUGGACUCGCGUCCGAUUAGUUAGUUGGUGAGGUAACGGCUCACCAAGACCGCGAUCGGUAGCCGGACUGAGAGGUUGAACGGCCACAUUGGGACUGAGACACGGCCCAGACUCCUACGGGAGGCAGCAGUGGGGGAUAUUGCGCAAUGGGGGCAACCCUGACGCAGCAACGCCGCGUGAAGGAUGAAGGUUUUCGGAUUGUAAACUUCUUUUAUUAAGGACGAAAAAUGACGGUACUUAAUGAAUAAGCUCC